CAGCAUGGCCUUUAUAUCCUGGGCUACACACACGCUACAAUGGGAAGGGACAUAGGUUGCGAAGCCGCGAGGCGGAGCCAAUCCAGCAAAACUUCCCUCAGUUCAGAUUGCAGGCUGCAACUCGCCUGCAUGAAGUUGGAGUUGCUAGUAAACGCAGGUCAGCCAUACUGCGUUGAAUACGUUCCCGGGGCUU
rnacentral:rRNA from 1 species